AGUGAACGCUGGCGGUAGGCCUAACACAUGCAAGUCGAACGGCAGCACAGUAAGAGCUUUCUUUUACGGGUGGCGAGUGGCGGAUGGGUGAGGAAUACAUCGGAAUCUACUUUUUCGUGGGGGAUAACGUAGGGAAACUUACGCUAAUACCGCAUACGACCUACGGGUGGAAUCAGGGGAUCUUCGGACCUUGCGCGAUUGAAUGAGCCGAUGUCGGAUUAGCUAGUUGGCGGGGUAAAGGCCCACCAAGGCGACGAUCCGUAGCUGGUCUGAGAGGAUGAUCAGCCACACUGGAACUGAGACACGGUCCAGACUCCUACGGGAGGCAGCAGUGGGGAAUAUUGGACAAUGGGCGCAAGCCUGAUCCAGCCAUACCGCGUGAGUGAAGAAGGCCUUCGGGUUGUAAAGCUCUUUUGUUGGGAAAGAAAAGCAGAAGGUUAAUACCCCGCUGUUCUGACGGUACCCAAAGAAUAAGCACCGGCUAACUUCGUG
rnacentral:rRNA from 1 species